rnacentral:rRNA from 1 species
GACGAACGCUGGCGGCGUGCUUAACACAUGCAAGUCGAACGGAAAGGCCCUGCUUUUGUGGGGUGCUCGAGUGGCGAACGGGUGAGUAACACGUGAGUAACCUGCCCUUGACUUUGGGAUAACUUCAGGAAACUGGGGCUAAUACCGGAUAGGAGCUCCUGCUGCAUGGUGGGGGUUGGAAAGUUUCGGCGGUUGGGGAUGGACUCGCGGCUUAUCAGCUUGUUGGUGGGGUAGUGGCUUACCAAGGCUUUGACGGGUAGCCGGCCUGAGAGGGUGACCGGCCACAUUGGGACUGAGAUACGGCCCAGACUCCUACGGGAGGCAGCAGUGGGGAAUAUUGCACAAUGGGCGGAAGCCUGAUGCAGCAACGCCGCGUGCGGGAUGACGGCCUUCGGGUUGUAAACCGCUUUCGCCUAUGACGAAGCGUGAGUGACGGUAAUGGGCAAAGAAGCACCGGCUAACUACGUG